GCAUGACUGAAUUCUGCAUUAGCUCUUCUGUAGUUAAAGCAGUCAGACAUCAUGCUAAAUUAUCUUCACCUUGAUUUAAAUUGUUGCUAUGUCUUGUCAUAGCAGUAUUCAAAAGGUGAGCACAAAA